GCUAUAGAGUGGCGUUUUGGUUGAGGUUUGUUUAUGGCUCCUCAGACCACUGUGUAUUGCUAUUUUGUGGUCAUUACUAAAGUUGGUAUAACUAGAGAAGCAAGCAGUCGGCAACAUUCAUCUCCUUAGGGGGUGUCUAACUCGGUGUUACAAUGUGUUUGACCUUAACUUGAUUUUACGCCUGAAUAUCCCUUCAAGUAUCAACUUUUCAGAGAAAUAUGCUCCUCUUUGUUUCAUGAUUUAUGGCAGAAAAAUCUUCAUUGCAGACUUGUUGAGAGUUAAAGAUAAACACCUCUACACAAUAUUGUAUGAUUGUUUUUGAUUAGGAUUUUUAAGGGUUAAUUGAGGAAGCAAAUAAGCAUGUUCAGUCCAAAAUUAAGUUGUUUUUUCAUACAAGAACCUCAACCUAAAAAAAAAAAAAAGAUACACUGGAAGUCCGUUUGUAUUCACUUUUCAACAUACACAAAGGAUGAAAGAAAAUUGCCCAAUUUAGCUUUGUGUUCCCCCGUGGAUCCUGGUUAAUCAAAAAUGCCACACACACACACAAUCAGCAAUUACGACGGGCUAUGUAAAUAUCGACAAAGCUUCAAGCUGUUUAUUAGCUGUUCCUAAGACACUAAUUUGUCUGGUUCACACUAAAUGAAUUACAGAUGGAUUUCCUAAUUCAGCCGUAAGCGGACACCCGCUACAGAAACAAAUUAAUCGAGGAUGUUUUUCUACCUGAAACUGUCAGAGAUACUCUCACAUGCAGAGAUAGUGAUGAAUUUUGCUUUUAUUUUAAUACUCUGCCAUUUUGUUGAAAUUAACCAGCAGCAACAGGUUGUUAAUUUGAAAAUCAAAUCAGUGUUGUUGGAGCUUGUACAGAGGCAGAAAAGAUUGAAAGUUAAAACAGAAGGACGGUAUUUUUAGUACAAGGUUCCUGUGAUCUGGGUCUUUCUCAGUGAGAGGAAUCAAAACGAGCGGGGCAGCCUUCAUGACUUGGCACCACCCCAGAUUAUGACAAUAAUCCUCAUCCCCACUGCUGGCUGUAUGUAGAAAGGGAGCAUUAAUGAACACAAAACCUGACCUUUCUGCAAAAUGUCAAGGGUGCCCAUUUCAACCCUAAACAUUAUCAGAAGCUUCACCAAGGGACAGGCCUGAUACAAACAAUUUGUCACUUGCUAUAGUUCAUAUCAGUGCCAGUGAGCAAAGGCGCCCAGGCUCUAAAUGUCAGAUUUCAAUUUGACUCGCCCUCCCUGCUGAUGGAUGAACCAAUCCGAUUCCCUUAAAUACAUAGUUUUCACUGAGAAAAAAAUGGAAUGUGGCUCAUCGUGAGAUAGAGACGCUUGUUCUUUUGAUGUAUAAAGGAGCAGAGGGCCUGCACAGUCGUUAAUUGAGAUUGUUGACAGAUGGGCGACCCGUGCUUUCUGUCUGGGUUAUGGCUCCCUAGAGAUUUGACAACCAUCCAUCAUGUCUCUUUUUUCCCACAGUGUCACGUAAUUGAAAAGGCUGUCAUGGCUGACUUAUGUCGGCAACUUUGUUAUGAAGUGUGUGAGAAUAAAAUGAAAGCAGCGUUAUUGUGUGCCUCCUCGCCAAGCAGUGCAUUAUUGUAUUGAUCUAUGGGGACAGGUGGCAGCAAGAGCAAAUGUCAUCAAAUCAAGUUGUACCUCCAUAAAUACAGCAAGUAGAACUAUAUGGCUUUCAUAGCCACAGUGGAAAAUACUUCAUUGUCUUCUAAUGAGCUGCUCAAGUGUCAAAGAGGAAGGAGGCUACAUGCUGCUGCUGCUACUUUCAUUUAGUCUUUGUUUAACUGUGAAAUUACAAGUCUGCUUUAACCUUUGUAAAACUAUAAAUAAGGAAUGGGUAUUAAAGCAAAGUUAUUGUAUCAUUUCAAAGUUUUGAUUCAGUCAAAGUAUGACCUGCGCAUGUGAGCAGUAUCUUCUGCAAUAGUUGCUAUUUCUGAUAUUGAUGGCAUUUUGCCUCUGUAGGUUAGUGAUGGGAAGAACAGUUCUUUUGACUGUACUGAAUCUUUAGAAUCUGUUGAUGAUUCGUUCAAAGGAUUCGUCGACCGAAUCAGUCAGGGUUUCAGUGCCCCGUCCUGCCGGUGCAGUACACGAGUGAGUGACACAGCAGCACUGAUCGGAAGUUCGUUCAUUCCCCUGCUGCCGAAGUCACAGCGUCGUUCACCGGGUGACAUUUCGUUCAUUCCCCAAGUCGUGAAGGAAGAAUCACUCCCCUGCCCUGAAAAACUCACCUCUCUAUGUGCUGCUGACGUUCGCAUCAACACAGCAACACAGUAGUGAAACAACACAACAGCAUGCAGCAUGCUUGCUAAACGAGCGGGAGUCGUCGUUCGUUUAUAUCGCAGAAAGUUAAGAAAUUAAAAAUAAAUAAACAUCGCAGCUGUAGUGGGGAUUCUGAUACUUCUAAAGUUACCAAAUAGCGUAUCGCUUUAAAUGGGCUGAAAUUAAAUCCUUCUUGCUGGAAAGUUUGUAGACCUGUAUUAAUGUAAAGACACAAUAGUUUUAUCUCAGCUCAUGUUCAUCCUCACAGUGAAUAAACCAGUGCUCAGCAGUUCAUGAAUGACGCCACGCCCCUCCCUCCUCUGCCUGUCUCAAAUUGUUCUGAAGUUGUUCAUUUCGUUCACAGUCUGACUGAUCAGUUCCACUCCCAACCAGCACCACACGCUCGCAGCUGAGCUCAACUGACCUGAGAAAGAAACGAAUCAGGUCUUGGAGUGAUUCCAUUCACGUCGUUCAAUCAGCAGUUCCGUUCUUUAUGAAUGACACAACACUACUGUAGGUCAUGAAGAGCCAUCACUGUUCAUUUUAUCCUGUUUCAUAACCAGUCCAAAACUCCUCACAGUGUCUUUAAAGUGAAAAAUGAGUCUCUUGUAUCAAAACAGAUAAAACGGAGCAGAUUUGCUUGAAAAUGGAGCACUGUCUCUUUGGGUGGGAGGUUUGUUAGUGCAACAAUCUGCACAGCCAUAUUAUUUGUGCUAUGUUUGCAUGACAAAAAAAUAACUCUGAAUGGCACAAAAGACAAAAGGACAACAGUAACAGAAUAAGCUGUAUUGAUAUUCAUCACACAUCUUGCAUCAUCCAUCUGUCACUUCAUGUGUAUCCUCAAGCCUUUUCUAAUUCAGAUGGGGUCUGAAGUCACUUCCUCAUACAGUUUUCAUGAACAGAAAUUUUCCUCUGAGGUUGGGCAUUCUUACAUGGGGCCUCAUGGGGAUUUACUCAUGUCUUUGUAGGCAGCCUCAAGUGGCUGCUCAGGGAACUGCAGUUUUUGACAUCGUACAUUUUGCAUUAUUUUGCAGCCCCUGGGGUUGCUGCUGGGGUUUUACUUGACUUCCUUUGACAACAUUUGUAAAAUCUGCAAAUGCAACUAAAAGAUUUUACCAGUCAGACACCCUGAAAAAACAUACAGCCUGAUUUUAUGUCAAUAAUUCACACAUCUUCAAAGCAGAUGUGUCAAAUCAGAAAAGUUGUGUAAGUCAUGUAGAAAUCAUUUAUCAGUCAUUACCAUGGGACUCACAUAAAAAUUAAUUUUUGUUGCCGUUCCUGCGAAGUUUUACUCUUAUUUGACAGCUGAGACAAGUGGUGACAAGUGCCGAGAGACACAAUGAUUGACAUGUUAUCAAAGUCUGUGCUGGAUUGAAACCGGGGGUGUUGGAGACAGUCACAUUGGUAUGCAUCUUAGACACCACAACACACUCUCGUUUAGACUUAUGAUUUAGUAUUUAGUCUCACUUUUAAUUUAAGAUUCCUCUGUAAUUACAUUGUGACUGGUAAGAAUGAACCAUGAAGUUGUGUGAUGAUUCAAAACUUAUCUUUAAUUAAAUUCACAGCAGUUCAUUCUUACCAGUCAAAAUGUAAUUAGAAAGUCAUAAAUGUCCUGUGCGUAGUUUUAACGUGAAUACCCUCAAUCUUAUAUGGUACAUUAAAGCCAGUUAUUGUGGAAGUCAUGUUAUGGAAGUGUUUCUUUUUUCCAUUUCAUUUUUACUGAUGCUCACAGCUGGAAAGCACUCACUGCAAAAGACAGAUUUCUCACUUCUUUGUGAGUUAGAUGAAUUCUCUGAGGACUCAGAAAGGCUUAUAGAGGAUCCAUAAUGUUCUGUAUUCCAGCAGAUUCAGAGCAUGGUGGAGGGUUUUAAUGCGUUUUUUGGGGAAAUCAGUUCAUCUGAGGUUCCUUAUUGAUGCUCGAUCCGUCUCUGACGAAUAAUUUCUCAUAACACUUGACACGAAACAGGCAGCACAUAAACAUGAUUUCAUAUGUUGAAAUUUUCUUGAAUUCAGUUUCUGCUUCUCCUCAGCUCUCAUGCAGAUGUUUUGGCACAUUACUGUGAAAGAGGGAGUCGUUUUUAAUCAAUUAAAGGUGGGGUAGGCAGGAACUGAGGAAGUGCCAGUUUUGGGGAGAGAUCCUGAAUGCAAACUCUACCCCUCCCAACCAGUUUUCCCCUCAGCUCCUCCUCUCCCCUCCCUCUCUGCUCCAGCAAGCCCCGCCCACAAACAGAUGCUCCUGCUUGCUCGCGUCGUUUCAAUCAAAUUAAUAUUAAUGCAGAUAAAUACUUCAGAUAAUUACCAAUGGGGCUCAGUCAAUGCGAAAGUAAAAAGCAUUGGUGCUACUGUAGAUGCCAACAGACUACCAGCAAACACAAUGUUUGCAGGACUUCUACAACUAGGAUAAAGUGACAUAGUCCAGGACCCGAGGUAAACAGUUUAGCGGCGCUACAACGCACAGCGGGUCCCGUUUGGCAAGAAACACUUCUGUUACAGACACUUGGCUUACUUCGUUAAAGCGGUUCACCUGUCCAGCAUAAUGGUUACAGCGUCCAUAAGAUCCCGAAGCAUUCCCUAUCCCACCCGUCUUUUUUGCUCUUGUCUGGGUGGUCCACCUCCUUUUUAAGCACCUGUUAUCCUGCCAAAGUCUCCGGUAUUUACUUCGUUUCCUUGUUUGUGUUGGCAGUCAUGGCUAAAGGAGGAUUCAGACAAUUUUCCGUACUUUCUGGUUGUUUUCUACUAACUUUGUUUGGACUUGUGAAUGACAUAGGGGAGCAGUGUCUGCCUCACAACCAAUCAGGAUGGGGGAGGCGGAGAAUGGCUUUGUUUACAGUCAGAAACAGCGGCGAGCUCUAAAAAUUAAAAAAUGUUGACUACACAGACAUAACACAACACAGCGAUAUUGUUAUAUUACCAAAUGUCAUCAAUAACUAAAAGCUUUUUUGUAUACACACACCACAAAAAAGAUGCUUCUUUAACGGAUUCCUGCCUACCCCACCUUUAACUUUAAUAGUAAAUUAUUUACCAAAUUUACCGCCUUGAAACUGAAAGUUUUAUUGGAAGGAACCCCCUGUACUCUCUGUUUGUUCUUUUCAAAUCUAUUUGGUAUUUAAUCAUUGAUAUUACUUUGAUAGAAAGAAAAACCUUUGUUAUCAGUACGUUUUCAAGUCUAGACAUGGCAUUUAUAACGUUUGUGAAAUUUCCCUCCUGGAAAUUAUGCACCUAAUUAUGAUCUUACUCUCGCGUCAAUGAGAAAAUGGUGUUCAAUGAUAGCCUUAGAUUGAUCACACUUUAGUUAUUAUCACUAAUGAUCUGAGGAGCAGGCACCACAGCAGAGCUCCAGAGCCUCAGCAACCAGAGAAUACUCCAGUAUAUUUGUAGAAAAUCAAUUUUAACAGUGUAACCGACACAUGAGUCAGUUUGUAGACCUGUAAAUGUUUGGGGUACACAAAGACUGACCUUUACUUCACAAAAGCUGCCUGGACCUGUCAGGACUAAUCCUUGCUUUGAGGAGUUCUGAUGAUACGCGCUCUGCAGUAAUUAGAUAGAACUGUGUGUUGUGUGCAGUAGCAGGUAAACAGAGUGCAUUUCAAAAAUCAAUAGCAGGCAUACUGUAGUGGCAGCACAUGUCUGAUAAAAUCAAGGAUCUGUUGAGCUCAGUAUGCGGGACAUCUACCCAAGGAUAUUUUGAGGUUGUCUACUUGCUGUCUGGUUUGGUGGCAUUUAUCAUGUCUUUGUCUGCUUAUGUCAAAGCAGAUGGAGAGAAACAUUUCAGAUGCUGUUCAUAAAAAAAAAAACCAACUCUCUUUCUGACUGGAGCUCUGAUAAAAAUUGGACCUACUCGCUUAUUUUUAUAGAUUAAUAUUAACAAGGUUAGAAAGUCUUAAGUCUUGGUUGGGCUUUUAUAUUUGUGAAAGAUGGUCUUUAGCCAGCAGAGUCCCAGAAAGAUCUUGAGAGAGACUGGCAUCUUCAAAAUCUAAAAGACAGAUGAGUUUAAAACAGAAAAACCAAAUGUGAUACAAUUCUAUUUCAAUCCCUUCUUUGCUUUUAUGUAGUAGUAGUAGUAGUAGUAGUAGUAGUUUAUUUGUCCCAUAGGGAAAUUGAACUGCAGCAGAUCACACAUUUGGCAUUUCAUCUCGAACAGUACAGAUAAAAAAUAAAACAGCAUGUAGACAACUUUCACACAUAAUUAACAGUAAAAAUAAGUAACAUCAUCAUAAUCACACUUCCUCAGUCUCCACUUUAAUCUGAUUAGACCAGCUGAGCAGGCUAUAGGUGACUAACUAUGGCUAUUUGGUAUUAAGGCAUUUUAUGGCCUGUGGCACAAAAGAAAAUUUUGCUCUGUUUUUAGUAAACAGAGGGGGGCGAUAUCGUCGCCCAGAAGGCAGGAGGUUAAAAGAGUGGGCGAGGGGGUGCCUUUGGUCACCUAUAAUGUUGUUGCCUUUUUCCCUGUCCUGUCUCUGUAGAUGUCUUCCAUACAUGGCAGAGUAGUCCCCAGUAACUUACUGGAUAUGGAUAUAAUUUUUCUAACCCUCUUUUUCUGUGCCUCUGUGGCAUUGCCAAACCAGCAGGUAAUACAAAAAGAAAGAAUGCUUUCGAUGCUUGGUCCAUUAUCCUCGUCUGUGCUGACAUAUACUUAUAUUUCACAGUAAAAACCUUCAAAAUGAUGUAUGGGGUUUUCUCACUUAUUGAGUCAACCAUAUCUGAGGGUUUGUCUUCCUGAUGUCCCUUGUUAGAAUAAAUCACUGGUAAUCUGACUUCCAAAAAAGUGAGGAUGGAUUUAACCUUUUUACCUGCCUAAACUCAUCUUUUAUGGUCUAUAUGUUACAUCUAUUUAAUAGAUAAAAGUCUGACCUUUUCCUUUAGGGAUUGACUCUAAUGCAAGGAAUUACCCCUGUGCCUCUCAACCAUAUAUUGAGCAAGUGGCAUCUUAAAAGCUUACACUUGUACCUUUAAAGGUUUUAAACUUUAUCUGAGAGUUAAGACCUUUAACUUUUAAUGACCUCCAUUUUGAUUCUGAAAGACAAGAGUCAAUUUUUUGUCUUAUUCUUGGUGGGGCUCCAUCGCCUGUUUAAUUUUUCAUUCCGGGUUGAAAAACACAGCUUGUGUUUUCUUUGAGAUGCUGCCUCUGUAUUACCUGCAGAAAUUAUUCUGUAUAGGAGUUCAAUAUGUCUCAGGUUACCAUGGACCUGGAAAUUGAUUUCUGGAGUUGGGUCUGCAGCCUGAAGCUCAUUUUUCUUUUCUCUUUGCUCUGAGAAGAAAAUGGUUUCACACAUACACAGCAUUAUUUGUUAUCACAGUAAAUGUAUUGUUAUAUUGCUCUAUUUGUUAGCAAAAAUGAGCACUAGCCAAAAUGGGGGGAUGGGUUAUCAAGUCUACUAUUCCACCUGGUCCUGCAGAUGUCUCUGAGAUAUUUGGAAAAGGUUAUAUUUGUCUUUAUUAAAACUAGAAAUGAUAUUUUUAUGACAGAAAAUGGUUGCAUGUAACUUAAAUGGGCAGAUAAAAUGAUACAAGGAAGUCUACAUGGCAUCUCUGUGAGCUUCCUAACAGCUUCAGAGAAGUAAACAAUAUCAAUGGGAUGCAGGAUUCAGGAUUUUAUGAACAACGUCACCAUAGUAACAAGGCAAGAUCACUAUCCUUGUGCAUUCAAGAGAUCCCAUGAUUGCAGUUCAAUGUUCAUGUUCCCAUGCUCCGAGCUCACCCCCAUUGUUUACUCACACUUGUGAAAACAUGAUAGAAUGGAGGCUCCGGCUCAUUACCCCUGUUACACUCCUCUGCUAAGCUUUUCAACACUUGAAUCAAAUGGCAAAGGCGUAAUUGGAUUCAAAUGGGAUUUUAACCUGUUAGAAUAAUUUUCACUAUGCUGGAAGAUGCUAAAAUUUUAAUGCUUAGUCCUUUUUAUAUUAAAUGCUAAUAAGGAGCUGGUAGGUCAAAGCAAAGUGUAUUCACAGCUUUCUAACAGUCUGACAUGGAGAUUAAAGGUUGUGACGGCUAUUACUCUUUGAAAGAUGUGUUUUGUAAUGGAGUGUGUGACUUGAGUUUUUAAACAUUUCUUACAGGCUGCGACUUGGGCUUGAAGAUAAAAACUCAUUUUUUCAGCAUUCUUAUUGAUUUAUUUUAAGCAGACAAGACAAACUGUUCUGCAAACAUCCUUUUUUUUUAACUAAAAAAAUCUCACAUCAGGUUUCACUUUUUGUUCAACAUUGGUAUAAAUAUUAGACAUCUCAGUGAUACUCUGUUACAGGGUUCUCUUGUGUUCACACUGCAUUAGUGUAAAGUGAGAAAAACGUGCCACCGUGUUGCAAAGGGAGGCAAUGCUGUGAUCAUGUCACAGCCUCUUUACAGCACUGCGUAGGUAAAUGAAUGUCAUAGUGGUCUUAUUUUGCAUUGUUGGCCCAAAGACCAAGGCAGCUGUCUUGAAUGAGCUGUGGGUUGACUUAAAGGGAUAUUCCAGCAUAAAGUUAACUUGGUGUCGAAUACACCGCAACACAGAGUUAGACACCCCCUCGAGAGAUGAGUGUUGUCGACUGCUUGCUUCUCUAGUUAUACCAACUUUAGUAACGAUCGCAGGAUAGCAAUACACAGCAGUCUGAGGAGCCAUAAACAAACCUCAACUGAAAAGCCACUCUAUAGCCACAAAUAAUGUUCAGAACAGCACCUAACUUCAUCAACAGCACAUAUAGGGUCCCAGCCAUAGUACUAGCCACCAAACAUCUUUUUAACUUUGCCUGAUUUCUUUAGCAAAGAGUCUAAAAACAACUCACCGUCUCUCUUCCAGCAGCCACUUGUUUGUAGUGAGACCUCAGGCCAGUCCAUGACGGACUGCAGCGAGGUGACGCAGCUCAAGGAAGAACAUUUAUGAUCAUUUCUUCAUGGAAAUGCAAUCAGACUGAGAUGCUAAGGCAGAAGAACUACCACGUCUGCAGUGCAAAAUGAUUAAUAUGAUGAUUAUUACUUCAAGGAAAUGAUAAAGAAAUGAUCAUAAAUGUUCUUUCUCGCUACAAACAAUCGGCAACUGGAAGAGAGUGGGUGAGAUGAGAGUCGGUGUUGCGGUGUGUUUGACCUGAAAUUAAUUUUACGCCGGAAUAGCCCUUUAAAGCAGUGAGGAGGUCGAAUGUCAAAUCCACAUCUGGGUAGAUAAUCAUAUUUUCAUGCCAAAUACUUCAAGAAAGAUGAGGAUUCAAAUUGGAGUUUAAUAAGAAAAAUGCGAAAGAUCGAGAAAAAGUACAAACUGAAAGUCGCACUUUUACGAAGUUCAACAGAAAACACAGAGAACCCAGGCAGGGUACACAGAUGCAGGGAAAGACGCAACAAAUUGACACAGAUGGAGGGAAACACUAAACACACUCCAGGAAAUGAGCAACAGGUGGGAGACAAGAUACAGCAGAAACUAAUGACAGUACUUAACACAGGAAGUAAACUAGACUUCUACAAAUAGAAAAAUACCACAAAAUACAACAAAAAACUAAACUUGGGGACAAACCAGUAAAAGCACAAGGGCAACAAUAAAAUAAGAAUACAACACACAAAUAAUUGACACUUAUGAUAAACUGGAACAAUAACUCCUCAUGGCACAUACACUCAAUGGCCACUUUAUUAGGUACAGCUGUUCAAUCGCUCGUUAACACAAAUAGCUAAUCAGUCAAUCACAUCGCAGCAACUCAAUGCAUUUAGACAAAGAUGACAUCCUGAAUCUGGCUGUUGAGUAUAUUUGUCAAAUGUUGCACACUACUCACAAAAAUACAGAAGUGAGUCAGCACAUUCAGGGGUUAAUUCACCCACAAUGAUAGGGCAAAUUCCUCUGGAUCAGUGAGCUGGACUAAAGUCUCUAAACUGAAGCAGGUUUGGAAUCAGUGGAUUCUGUCAAGCUCUGUGAUGCUGCAAUGCCCGGCCCCAGCUCUUUGCCUACACUGGACAGGCUGGAGACAGCGAGUAACGUUCGCCAACUGCUACUUUUAUGCUAACUACCUCAGCUAUUACUGGAGCGUGAUGAGUCAAGCAGCUUUUUGAACCAGUUGCUGGGUUGGUUGCGUUCCCACUACAAUUAAACCACUUGAAUGUUGGAAUGGAAGCAAACCCAGACCUCUUUUAAGCAGUGUUGGCUUGUUUGGUUUCAUCCUGCGAUUGCUGCCUUCACAUACGUACAAACAACCCCAGAAAAUGAGGAUAAAAAACAUCCUGAACCACCUCUUCAAACUUUACUGGUCUGGCAGCACCCUCAAUUUAGAGUCCUUAUGCUUUAAGUCUUUUUGCUAGUAGUAGAAGGGAAAGUGAAGACCCCCAUUAAAAAAACGCAUAAAUCCCACUCUCACACUGCUACAUUAUCAGUCAAAUAACUCCUCACACACUCUCCUGUCAGCCUCUUGAGGCAGACAGAGUAAUUUUCCCUGACAGUUAGCAUUUUUCAGUUCAGUCUGUCUGUCUGUUUGAGCUCCUCAUCAGCGGUGAUAGUGGUUAUUUUUUUGCUUCUUGACAGAUAAGUCGGUCCAGGCUCCAUUUCUGCUAUAAAUACAUUGAUCCCACUUGUCAAGAAAUGAUUUUCCCCAUAGCAGCAAAAACAUGUUAUAUAAGAAACUCUUGUAGAUAAAAUGUGCUAAUGAUGCAGCUGAAGGGCUCCCUGAUGCAAACACCCAGUAAACAGACUUUGGUCCUUUGGGUUUGAAUACCUUUAACUCAUAUUACAUACAUGAACUCAUAUCACAUUCUCAGUGGGAGCUGGAUGUUGUACGUAUUCUUAUAUAGAACCCUCAAUAACAUUUGUUAGGGCUGUCACAUCAUCAUUUUGAGGAGAGUAGCUUUAAAUUUGACAAACUCCAUCAUGACUGUGGGUAGGGCUGGGCAAUAUGGGAGAAAGUUUCUAACAAUAUAUUUUUUCAUAUCAGUUGAUAUCGGUAUAUAUUACCAUACAAAAAAAGGAAUUUAACAGUGCUUAUAGGUAGCAUGUCUUUUGCAAUACAAUAAGCUACUGCAUCUGUGAGGUCUUUGUGUCUCUUUGACAUUUUGUCGUUAGGCGUUGCUCUAAAGAAAGAGGACUUAAUGAUCAGUUGUUUCGGCUGCACAGGUCCGAUUGGCUCUUUGCUCUGCUCGGGUUUGUUACCUUUUGCAUUGCGUGUGCUCUGCUGCGUGGCACUGCUUCAGGUGGUGAAAAAGAUUUGAGGCAUUCCCCGACUUUGCGAGAACAUGUACUUGACAUAAUUUGCAGUUCACAUUACUCUGCUUCAUGUCUGACCUCAAAAAACCCAAAAUACCUCCACACCACCAACGUUUUUGUGCCAGUGUUGUUGAGGAUGUCAUCAGCUGUUGAUCCUUUAACUGCACUUCUGCUGGAGGUAGCACUUAUUUUCUUUUUUCUCACCGACAGUGCUGUCAGCUUCACGUGUUAAAGUGCUGUGGUUGCGUGUAGCUGCAGCCUGCUACUAAGCAGUCGUUUGCUACUUGGAUCUCAUUCAGCACAUGAUUGGUUCACCUGGAGCAACUUCCAUUUUCAUUGGCUAUUCAUAUAGUCUACCGGAACAUGACAGAAUGCUGACUAUCGAAAAGAAUAUUGACCAUGUCUUAUAUGAGGGGUGGGCAAUUAAUUUUUACAUGGGGCUACAUAAGAAACCUGAAUUGUGUUGGAGGGCCGAACCGACAAUAACUAAAGUUUUACAAGCGACUUCUGAGAGAAACAAGCCUAAAGUCUUUUAUAAUAAGCGGAUGUGGCAACUAUAAGGUGUCUACGUGUAUUUUGCCGAUGUUUAAACUUGUCUCUAUUAACGAAUGCAGAUGAAGGAUGUACCCGCGUGUGUCCAAACAGAAAUUAAACAAUGGCUAGUUUUUCAAAUUAAAAUCAACACACUUGUAUAGCGUGUUGAUAAUUUGUUUGACGGACCUUACAAAGGGGCGGAUGUGGCCCUCAGGCCAUAAAAUCCCUAGGUCUGUCUUCGAUUGAUAUUGUGGGAAAUCAAUUUUCGAUAUACAUCGUUAUCGUUUUAUCGUCCAGCCCUAACUGUGAGGGGCUGCUGUCAGAUCAGAUACUGUGCCUUCACUUCUGAUACUUCAUUAAAACCUCUGAUAAUCUUUCUGACAUGCUUUUCUCUGUUUGGAUUAACUUGACAGAAACUCUUGCUGACUCGGUGAAAAAAGCUGUCAGCAGUCACAGCAGGGCUCAAAUUUGACAAACAGCUCCUCUCAGUGAGGACUUUUUUUAUGACAUUCACCAUAUUUGUUUUAUUUAUACAUCAUGAGAAAUGACAUGCAGGGGAUGGAAAAAAACAAGUUGGUACAGAGCGCAGUCACACUGUACAUUUGAUGAGGUGUGUGCAGCAGGGGGUAAGUGAAUGGGACGGACCAUUACACAGCAGGAAGUGGACAGUAAAUAAAGAGUGUGGUGUCACCUGCUGUGCAUCGCCCGCUGGUUUUGCUCUUUCAUACCUCAACUCAAAGACAGACGUGAUGCUUAUUUCUGAAGCGUUUGGACUGACUGCUCAUAGCGAUGACGGCGGGAGUUUUAAAGCAGACAGGGAGAAGAGUACGAGAGGGAAGAGCGCACAAAUGCUCCUCAAAGGCACUGAUCUCGGUCCUUUCUCCUCAGACGCCAAAAUCCCGUCACUCCAGCACAAGCAAACACACUGUGAAUCAUGUAUUCCCACACAAAUGUGUACCCGUAUGCACACACCAUGGAGCUUCAGCCCCAGCAGACUGGUUGCCUCAUCUCCGGUACAUCCCCACAUCUCACAGAAUUAUUCACUCCAUGCUUUUCAGCAGGCCCUUUGUUUCCAAGGCAACAAGACUUAGUGGAUGUGUUGGGUUUGCAGUACUCUAGACAAAGUAUUUUUAAGGUUACAUAGCUUGAUGGAAAAAAAAAAGCUCACUGGAAGUAGAAAAAAAAUAUUGUUUCCAAGAUGUUAAUGUGUUUUCACGGUAAGUAAGGAAGUGUGUGUGUACAAACAUAAGUACACUGCUCAUGAGUAUGAUUACAGAUCAAUUAAUAGGAGUUUAUGAGCGAAAAAAGACUUCAAAUCUAAAUUUUGUCUGAAAGUUUUUCUUAAAGUAACCAGAAAAUAUGAUCAGAGGUCUUUAAAAAGAUCUCAAAAUGCAUAAACAAGGCUAUUUUUACAUGAACAGAUUACAUGUAAUCAGUCUGUUUUCUGAAGAAUCAGAUUAUAUGUAAUCCGAAAAUUCUAAAGUAAUCAGAUUAAAUUUAACCAUGUCACUUAAGAUCUAUCCUCUCUAGACUGGAUGAAUUUCAAUUUCUUCUCCCUCUUCUUCCUUAUUACUCUCCUUACUUCCUUGCAUCCUUUCCUUUGGCCCAUCCGGAUGCAGUGCUAACUUUGUACAUGCUCCAUCCUGAGUUUUUUGUAAAAACAAACAUUUUGAUGACAGGUUUUUGCAGCCACAUGUCUCACCAGUUUUCUAUUUGAAACAUAUCUAUAAGAUGUUACAGUAUGGAGGUGAGAGGGUGCAGUUUUAUCCCCACUAACUGCAUUAUAUACAAAUACUACGGCUGUGUCCGAAAUGAAUCACUCAAUCCCUAACCCCUAACCCCCAUAUGGAAUUGAUCACUGAGGUUUCCGACACCCCUCAAAAUGGCGCUAACCCC